GAUGAAGAACGUAGCGAAAUGCGAUAAGUAGUGUGAAUUGCAGAAUUCAGUGAAUCAUCGAAUCUUUGAACGCACAUUGCGCCCCUUGGUAUUCCAUGGGGCAUGCCUGUUCGAGCGUCAUUUGUACCUUCAAGCUCUGCUUGGUGUUGGGUGAUUGUCUAUCUUUGUAGACUCGCCUUAAAGUCAUUGGCAGCCGGCAUAUUGGCCUGGGAGCGCAGCACAAGUCGCGCUUCUUGUCAUGAAUGUUGGCGUCCAGUAAGUCUACAUAUUUUGCUCUUGACCUCGGAUCAGGUAGGGAUACCCGCUGAACUUAAGCAUAUCAAUAAGCUGAGGA
rnacentral:misc_RNA from 1 species